UGGGGUGUCACUCAGUGGUAGAGCACUUGGCUAGCAUGCAUGAGGUCCUGGGUUCCAUCCUCAGCACUGCAA
rnacentral:tRNA from 1 species